UACAUCAGGCUGAAACAUUGGUUCCCAUAUGAUCACCGAAGUUAAGCAACAUCCAAUAUGCUCAGUACCUAGAUGGGUGAUCGCUUGGGAAUAGCAGGCGCUGUU